rnacentral:lncRNA from 10 species
AGGGUAGCUAGAGUAGAGGAAGUGAGGGGAAGAGGGAGAAAGUGAUCUCUUCAGUUUGGGGAUAUAUGAAGUAGGUAGACCUCAAUAGGACUUGCUGAUGCCCUGAAUGUGGGGUGUGAGAGAGAAGGGAGUCAAGAGCAACUCUGGAGUUUUUGGCCUGAGCAAUUAAGAUGGAGUUGCCGUUUAAUGAGAUGUGAAAAAUUAUAGGAAAAAUGUAUUUCUGGUGGAGGGCAAAGAUUAAACUCUAUUUUGGACAUGUUAAAUUUGAGGUGUUUCUUAAGACAUUCAAAUGGAGAUGUUAAAUAAGACGUUGGAUAUAUUGGUCUGGAAUUGAGAGAUGAGAUUAGGGAUAGAGUAUAAAAUUUGAGAGUACUUGGUACUUUGAAGCCACGUGAUUAGAAAAAGUUGCCUAAGGAGUUUGUAGAGAUGAAGAGAAGAAGAUGACUGAGGAGUCCCUGGAAUGUUCUAAAGUGUAGAGUCAGUAAAAGAAGGAAGGCUAGCUCAGAAAAAAAAAAUACCAAAGAGAUGCAGUCAUUGAGAUAGGAGGAGACCUAGGAAAGCAAAAUUCUGUGAAAUCCAAGAGACCAAAGUUUUUCAAGUUGAC